rnacentral:rRNA from 1 species
GAUGAACGCUGGCGGCGUGCCUAAUACAUGCAAGUCGAGCGAACGGACGAGAAGCUUGCUUCUCUGAUGUUAGCGGCGGACGGGUGAGUAACACGUGGAUAACCUACCUAUAAGACUGGGAUAAAUUCGGGAAACCGGAGCUAAUACCGGAUAAUAUUUUGAACCGCAUGGUUCAAAAGUGAAAGACGGUCUUGCUGUCACUUAUAGAUGGAUCCGCGCUGCAUUAGCUAGUUGGUAAGGUAACGGCUUACCAAGGCAACGAUGCAUAGCCGACCUGAGAGGGUGAUUGGCCACACUGGAACUGAGACACGGUCCAGACUCCUACGGGAGGCAGCAGUAGGGAAUCUUCCGCAAUGGGCGAAAGCGUGACGGAGCAACGCCGCGUGAGUGAUGAAGGUCUUCUGAUCGUAAAACUCUGUUAUUAGGGAAGAACAUAUGUGUAAGUAACUGUGCACAUCUUGACGGUACCUAAUCAGAAAGCCACGGCUAACUACGUG